GCGUAACGCGUAUGCAAUCUGCCUUGUACAGAGGGAUAGCCCAGAGAAAUUUGGAUUAAUACCUCAUAGUAUUAUUGAAUGGCAUCAUUUAAUAAUUAAAGUUCCAACGGUACAAGAUGAGCAUGCGUCCUAUUAGCUAGUUGGUGUGGUAACGGCAUACCAAGGCUACGAUAGGUAGGGGUCCUGAGAGGGAGAUCCCCCACACUGGUACUGAGACACGGACCAGACUCCUACGGGAGGCAGCAGUGAGGAAUAUUGGACAAUGGGCGCAAGCCUGAUCCAGCCAUGCCGCGUGCAGGAAGACGCAUCUAUGGUGUGUAAACUGCUUUUGUACGGGAAGAAA
rnacentral:rRNA from 1 species